UAAUGGUAUCAUGUGCUGCACUCUACCCA
rnacentral:piRNA from 1 species